rnacentral:tRNA from 1 species
AGCUUUAUAGUUUAAAAAAAACAAAAAUUUUGUAAAUUUGAAAUAAAUUUAAUAAUUUUAAAGCUU